AACGUAGGAGGCGAGCGUUAUCCGGAUUCACUGGGCGUAAAGCGCCGGUAGGUGGUUCGUUAAGUAGGUGGUGAAAGCCUCUGGCUCAACUGGGGGAGGUCCACCUAAACUGGCGGACUGGAGGUUCACAGAGGCUGGUGGAAUUCCCGGUGUAGCGGUGGAAUGCGUAGAGAUCGGGAGGAACACCCGUGGCGAAGGCGACCAGCUGGGUGAAAUCUGACACUGAGAGGCGAAAGCGUGGGGAG
rnacentral:rRNA from 1 species